rnacentral:lncRNA from 1 species
CGGCCCAAAGGAAUGUUGUUAUUUGGCAGGAACUCGAGGAAGCUUGUGGUGAUAAAUAUGUGACAAUUAUUAAGUUUUUCAUGUGAAUAUUAAGCCGGCCCAAAGGAAGGCUUGAUAGUUGAUAGGAGUUUAUUGUCAAUAUUUGAUUACUACACCAAGAAUACCAAUUACAAGUUGAUUUUCUGUCCAAAGACUAAAAUCAAU